rnacentral:rRNA from 1 species
AGAGGGUGCAAGCGUUAAUCGGAAUUACUGGGCGUAAAGGGCGCGUAGGUGGUUAAUUAAGUCAGAAGUGAAAUCCCUAGGCUUAACCUAGGACUUGCUUUUGAAACUGAUAGACUAGAGUUUGGGAGAGGGAAGUGGAAUUUCCGGUGUAGCGGUGAAAUGCGUAGAUAUCGGAAGGAACAUCGGUGGCGAAGGCGACUUCCUGGCCCGAUACUGACACUGAGGCGCGAAAGCGUGGGUAGCGAACAGGAUUAGAUACCCUGGGUAGUCCACGCAGUAAACGAUGAGAACUAGAUGUUAGGGUGCUAGUCACUUUAGUAUCGCAGCAAACGCGUUAAGUUCUCCGCCUGGGGAGUACGGUCGCAAGAUUA